rnacentral:rRNA from 1 species
CCUACGGGAGGCUGCAGUGAGGAAUAUUGGUCAAUGGGCGCGAGCCUGAACCAGCCAAGUCGCGUGAGGGAAGACUGUCCUAUGGAUUGUAAACCUCUUUUGUCAGGGAGCAAUGAGCCUUACGUGUGGCGUGAUGCCAGUACCGGAUGAAUAAGCAUCGGCUAACUCCGUGCCAGCAGCCGCGGUAAUACGGAGGAUGCGAGCGUUAUCCGGAUUUAUUGGGUUUAAAGGGUGCGUAGGCGGAAUGUGAAGUCAGCGGUAAAAUUUCGGGGCUAAACCCCGGCUUGCCGUUGAAACUGGCGGACUUGAGUGCAGGAGAGGUAGGCGGAAUGAGUGGUGUAGCGGUGAAAUGCGUAGAUAUCACGCAGAACUCCGAUAGCGAAGGCAGCUUACCGGGGCGAAACUGACGCUGAUGCACGAAAGCGUGGGUAGCGAACAGGAUUAGAUACCCUGGUAGUC